rnacentral:rRNA from 1 species
GGUUAAGUUAAUAAGGGCGCACGGUGGAUGCCUUGGCACUAGGAGCCGAAGAAGGACGGGACUAACUCCGAUAUGCUUUGGGGAGCUGUAAGUAAGCUUUGAUCCAA